CAUCUUUAGCCUAUAGGUCUCACAUUCCGGCCACAACUGCGAGAGCACUUCACACACGGGAUGCUCCGAAUACCACGGGCCUUUAAAGGGAUUUAUUACUAGGUUAAAGAGUAAAACAAAGGACAGGAGUCGAUUAUCCUCAUUCCCCGUUAGUGUCGUUAGCUUCGUCAGUGUCUUAUUCUCAUUGAUGCAUAUUCCAGGUCUGGCCCCUUGAAUUCUUCUUGGAAUUCCACAAGACUUCUUGGGCAAUAUAAGGAGGACAGUUGAAUGCAGGACCUUUUGUACUAACACGGGCCUACAUUUUUAUCUUGGUAUUUUGGUCAAAUGCUGAGGGAUUGAGCAAGAAGUUAAUUAUCCUGAAUAGAAAAACAAAAACAGUAUGGAUUAGUAAUCUAUUACAUAGACUCCCUAAUAUCAGGACAGGGGAGCCAGCCCGCCUUGAAACAGGAAAUCCUGCUUCACACAAAGCCGGAAAUACCAGGAACUGAUUAUUCUGAGCCGGUACAGAUUCAAAACAGCUUUUUUGGCCCUCCUGGAAGGAUGGCUGAGGUAGUUAAUCACCCUUGGAGAAAAGGAAUUCUUGGAGGGAGGAGGGGCCCGCUUCCUAACCUUUGAGGGCUGAGGUCAAAGGAUGUCCCAGCUCUCCAUUUGCUCCCAUGUGACAGAACAUCAGAGGGUCCAGAAGAGCUGGGCACGUGCAGUCAUUGAUAAUUUCCAGGUAGCUGAAACCCAAGAAAUUUAUCAAAGGAAAAAAUGAAAAUAAAAAAGGAAAAAAAAAACAACCCAACAACAACAAGAAAUACAUUACCGGGGGCUGGAGAUUUUGCUGGGUAGUGGAACACUCACUUGACAUGUAUGUCCGCACUCCCAGCUCCUACAAAGAAGAAAAACUAAAUUAAACCUAACCCCCCCCACACACACCCUCUUGUUCAUCUUCUCAAAUAAAGCCAUUUGGUUGUUGUCGUUA
rnacentral:lncRNA from 1 species